rnacentral:rRNA from 1 species
CAGUAGCCACGGUAAUACGAAGGGGGCUAGCGUUGUUCGGAUUUACUGGGCGUAAAGGGUGCGUAGGCGGACUGAUAAGUCAGGGGUGAAAUCCCAAGGCUCAACCUUGGAACUGCCUUUGAUACUGUUAGUCUUGAGUUCGAGAGAGGUGAGUGGAACUGCGAGUGUAGAGGUGAAAUUCGUAGAUAUUCGCAAGAACACCAGUGGCGAAGGCGGCUCACUGGCUCGAAACUGACGCUGAGGCACGAAAGCGUGGGGAGCAAACAGGAUUAGAUACCCCUGUAGUCCCUGUCUCUUAUAC